CUGUGUUUUGUCAACUGGAGCUUUUCCAGGAUGCCUGGCUUCUUCACUAGAUAUUAGCUGCAAUAAUCAGUCACGAAUGCCUGGAUCACUGUGCUGAGACCUGUGUCUGAUAGGAUAGGACACCAUCUUCUGGCAGGAUGCAACUGGAGCUAACAGAAGAUCUGAAACACAUCAACAACAAAAACAGAAUUCAGAUAAAAAACAUGGAUCUAAGGCUGCAAGGGAAGAUUAAUAAAAUUCAGGCACUGCAACAGAGGGGAACAGCAUGGUGCGUGGCCAGGAGCUGGGAAUAUGGGCUUUGAGGCACCCAGAGGAUGCCCUGGUGUUGGAGGGAUCUGUUGGCUCUUGCCAGACAGCUGUAUUGUGGUGUUGCAUCUAACAGAGGCAUCCCUGAUACAGACCAAGCAAGCUCUGCAGGUGUCAGUGAGCAGCUUGAAACAGAGAACCAAGUCCAACAUUGGACUUGACACCUAACACUAUGGCUGGAUCCAAAUGACACAAAGCACUACUUCUUGGAGACCUUAAGUGAAACAGAGCUGAAUUAUCUAUUGGUUUAAAAAAACCUCAGCCAAAAAGAAAGCUGCAACAUACUGCAGGCACAAAAGCACUAGGCUAGACUUUGCUGUGAACAACAUUUCAAACAACAGCAAAAAAAUGCUGUUCUAGUAUCACUGUUUUUCUGACUGGGUCUGAUGAUGGCACUGGUUGUUUUCUUCACAGGGAGAGCCAUCAAAAAAUAGUCAUCUUUUCCCUCCUCUCUGUUGAAUGGCUCUAUAACCUUGGUGUGAAUUUAUAGUCUGUCAUUGCCUUUUGAGAUGCCAUAUGUGCAAAAGAAUGAGAGGGAAGGAGACACUUUGUUUCUGAAAAUGAUGCCAUGCUUAGCACUAUUACAGCAUUGUGGACAAUGUAUAUCAUUUAAAGCAGCAAGAAGAAGUCUUGGGUGAAAAAAGACCCUGUGGCAAGCACAACUGUCUCUUGUUCUUGGGGGCAAAGAAAAAAAAAAAAAACAACAUAGUACAAACCCCCCUGCUACUUCAUGUAAUUUAAUGUAAUUUAAUUCAUUCCA